UUGUAGGAACUAUGCGAGUGAG
rnacentral:siRNA from 1 species